rnacentral:rRNA from 1 species
UGCCAGCCGCCGCGGUAAUACGGAGGGGGUUAGCGUUGUUCGGAAUUACUGGGCGUAAAGCGCGCGUAGGCGGAUUGGAAAGUUAGAGGUGAAAUCCCGGGGCCCAACCCCGGAACUGCCUCCAAAACUGCUAGACUAGAAUUCAAGAGAGGUAGGCGGAACUUCCAGUGUAGAGGUGAAAUUCGUAGAUAUUAGGAAGAACAUCAGUGGCGAAGGCGACUCACUGGUCCGAUACUGACGCUGAGGUGCGAAAGCGUGGGGAGCAAACAGGAUUAGAUA